GAUGAACGCUGGCUCCAGGCUUAACACAUGCGAGUCGAGGGGAAACGACGGGGAAGCUUGCUUCCCCGGGCGUCGACCGGCGCACGGGUGAGUAACGCGUAUCCAACCUGCCUCUGACUGAGGGAUAACCCGUCGAAAGUCGGCCUAAUACCUCAUGGUAUCGUCUGCGGGCAUCCAACGACGAUUAAAGAUUUCAUCGGUCAGGGAUGGGGAUGCGUCUGAUUAGCUUGUUGGCGGGGUAACGGCCCACCAAGGCUACGAUCAGUAGGGGUUCUGAGAGGAAGGUCCCCCACAUUGGAACUGAGACACGGUCCAAACUCAUACGGGAGGCAGCAGUGAGGAAUAUUGGUCAAUGGGAGAGAGCCUGAACCAGCCAAGUAGCGUGCAGGAAGACGGCCCUAUGGGUGGUAAACUGCUUUUAUGCGGGGAUAAAGUGAGGGACGUGUCCCUCAUUGCAGGUACCGCAUGAAUAAGGACCGGCUAAUUCCGUG
rnacentral:rRNA from 1 species